rnacentral:rRNA from 1 species
GACGAACGCUGGCGGCGUGCUUAACACAUGCAAGUCGAACGGAAAGGCCCUGCUUUUGUGGGGUGCUCGAGUGGCGAACGGGUGAGUAACACGUGAGUAACCUGCCCUUGACUUUGGUAUAACUUCACGAAACUGGGGCUAAUCCCGUAUAGGAUCUCCUGCUGCAUUGUGGGGGUUGGAAAGUUUCGGCGGUUGGGGAUGGACGCGCGGCUUAUCAGCUUGUUGGUGGGGUAGUGGCUUACCAAGGCUUUGACGGGUAGCCGGCCUGAGAGGGUGACCGGCCACAUUGGGACUGAGAUACGGCCCAGACUCCUACGGGAGGCAGCAGUGGGGAAUAUUGCACAAUGGGCGGAAGCCUGAUGCAGCAACGCCGCGUGCGGGAUGACGGCCUUUGGGUUGUAAACCGCUUUCGCCUGUGACGAAGCGUGAGUGACGGUAAUGGGUAAAGAAGCACCGGCUAACUACGUG